AUGAAAGUGUGUAAUUAAACAUUUUAAUGAAUGAUUGGAUGUGAUUGUAACCAGUGUUUUGAAUGAUUGAAUACCUUCGUAACUGUCGUUAUAGAUGAAUGACGUAUUUAUAUAAUUUUUUUAAAUAUGCAAUAUAUGAUAUAAUUAUUGCUUAUAUGUUAAAUUAUGAUUGUUGUUGUUAAUUUUGAAGAAGGAAGUAGAGAGCUGGAGGCCAAACAUGUUACUUAAUCGAUUAUUUUAACUAAAUAAUUGGAAAUAUUAUUU
rnacentral:lncRNA from 1 species